rfam:Picea glauca, whole genome shotgun sequence.
AGGGUGCUAGCUCAAUGGAAGAGCACCUGCCUUACAAGUAGGGGGUUGGUGGUUCGAUUCCUCCGUGCCCUA